rnacentral:rRNA from 1 species
ACGGAGGGUGCGAGCGUUAAUCGGAAUUACUGGGCGUAAAGCGCACGUAGGCGGUCAGGCAAGUCGGGUGUGAAAGCCCUGGGCUCAACCUGGGAAUUGCAUUCGAAACUAUCUGACUCGAGUAAGGGAGAGGGAAGCGGAAUUUCCGGUGUAGCGGUGAAAUGCGUAGAUAUCGGAAGGAACACCAGUGGCGAAGGCGGCUUCCUGGACUAAUACUGACGCUGAGGUGCGAAAGCGUGGGGAGCAAACAGGA